UAGACUUUAAGUUAUAAAAACUAAAACCUUCAAAGUUUUCAAAAAGAUUCUUCUUAAGUCUAA
rnacentral:tRNA from 1 species